UCUCCGUAGGUGAACCUGCGGAGGGAUCAUUACAGAGUUCAUGCCCUCCGGGUAGAUCUCCCACCCAUUGCUAUAACUACUCUCGUUGCUUUGGCGGGCCGCUGGGCUCUGCCCGGCCGGCGGCCCCGGCUGGCGCGUGCCCGCCAGAGACCUCACAAACUCUGAAUGUUAGUGUCGUCCGAGUAACUAUACAAUCAUUAAAACUUUCAACAACGGAUCUCUUGGUUCUG
rnacentral:misc_RNA from 1 species